rnacentral:rRNA from 1 species
GACGAACGCUGGCGGCGUGCUUAACACAUGCAAGUCGAACGAAGAGCGAUGGAAGCUUGCUUCUAUCAAUCUUAGUGGCGAACGGGUGAGUAACGCGUAAUCAACCUGCCCUUCAGAGGGGGACAACAGUUAGAAACGACUGCUAAUACCGCAUACGAUCUAAUCUCGGCAUCGAGGAUAGAUGAAAGGUGGCCUCUACAUGUAAGCUAUCACUGAAGGAGGGGAUUGCGUCUGAUUAGCUAGUUGGAGGGGUAACGGCCCACCAAGGCGAUGAUCAGUAGCCGGUCUGAGAGGAUGAACGGCCACAUUGGGACUGAGACACGGCCCAGACUCCUACGGGAGGCAGCAGUGGGGAAUCUUCCGCAAUGGACGAAAGUCUGACGGAGCAACGCCGCGUGAGUGAUGACGGCCUUCGGGUUGUAAAGCUCUGUUAAUCGGGACGAAAGGCCUUCUUGCGAAUAGUGAGAAGGAUUGACGGUACCGGAAUAGAAAGCCACGGCUAACUACGUG